rnacentral:rRNA from 1 species
CGUAGGGGGCAAGCGUUGUCCGGAUUUAUUGGGCGUAAAGAGCUCGUAGGUGGUUCGGUAAGUCGGAUGUGAAAUCUCCAGGCUCAACCUGGAGGGGUCAUUCGAUACUGCCGUGACUAGAGUUCGGUAGGGGAGUGUGGAAUUCCUGGUGGAGCGGUGAAAUGCGCAGAUAUCAGGAGGAACACCCGUAGCGAAGGCGGCACUCUGGGCCGAUACUGACGCUGAGACGCGAAAGCGUGGGGAGCGAACAGG